UCCAACGCAGUAUUGCCGCCAAUAGCUUCAAGAUUCCAACCGUCUACACCUAUCAACUCCGCCGGCUCCAUCCCACAUCUACACACAUCCCCACCAUUACCUUCAUUCUCCUCCUACUGGAAAAAUACUAGCAAGUCUCAUUGCUACUCUACACACAAUUUUCUACUACUCUUCCACCACAAUUGUCUACUAUCGGCAGGCCACCUGCAUCCCACUCUUUGCCAUCUCUCCCAAGCCAUAAACACAAAACAAAUCCAACACACCAUCAUUAGUGACACCACACUUUCUCCCAUAUGAACUAUUGGGCUACAGCCCAAUGGAGCCCUGGCCCGGAUAACAUUUUUAUGUGUAAUUUUUCUUGGGAAAAAAAAAAAACAUUAUAGCUAGGCGUAAAUUUAAGAUUAGCCCACCAAAUCAUACAUUCAUACUUCUCUAUUCUCAUUUUUCCAAUUGAUUCUAAAAAUGCCCAAGUGAAGAGCCUGAAGCCUCUGCAUUCUACAAGCCAGAAAGAAAACGGUACUGGUGGCAACCUCGUUGUGAGCUUGAGCUAUUAUCAUUUCCGAUUCAUCACGGUUUAUCACUUCAUCUUCGAUCCUUCGCCGUCCACCGCACUACAGAAUUUUUUUGAGUUAAAACUCGAGAGACACAACUUCAGUAGGUAAUGUCGUAAUGAAAUUUUAUGUUGUAUGCUUUAUAAAAAUUUGUGCAGAUACAUUUUAAAUUUCAGCCCCCCAACAUGAUGUUUUGGAUCUGCCUCUGAUCACGAAACACUAUUUCCAUCACCUCCAAGGACAUACUUUGUUCUUCCCACUGUGAACCGCUAUCAAACAACUCUCGCAACUUAAUCCCUGUCUCCCACUAACUCAAUACUCCAACUGCCCCACCUCUACCUCAUGCCUUCACACCAUCCCAGUAGAUGUGAAUCUCAAAAGUCGUUAUCAAAGAACAAUAGUAGAACGCAGAAUUUUGAAGCUUUUCGGAAUUGACCAAGCCCUUAGAAUAGAGAAAUCAGGCAUAUUCCUCCACAUUUAAUUGUUGAGACUUUAGGACACAACUCAUUAACCAGAGAUUUUGGGGAAAUUGGAAGAGAUGUGUUGGGGUAGCAGUCUAUGCUACAGAUUUGGAAACUUACGUGUGCAUCAGCAGCCGCUCGAAUUUAAACCUUGCGAGGUAUAUCAAUUUGUUAUUUGAGAUCUUUACUUUCUAUUUAGGCGUUUGUGGCCCAUCAAAUCUCUUAUGAAAAAUAUCAUGUCAAACCAAUUUUAAUGUGUGAGAGAACUCAUGCAGUAUAAUACAUCUUUCAAUAACUAUCACGGUCAUGUACCUUUACCUAAUCAUUCUUAUUAUCUCUGUUGCACGAACACUUUAACUAUGAUAGUGUGUCCGCGUCUAACAAUCCUCGAACACUUUACCAUGAUCAUAUUUCUUUUUUUUUAUAUAUUUUUAACUCAAAUUUAUUAAUAAAUAAUAAAAAGGUACUCAUAUUUAAAAGAUUUCAAAAAAAUAAAAAACUAAUAACGAGAAUAAAACUAAAUUUAUACAAUAUAAAUGAUAAAUUUUAAUAAUGUAAUUAAUGUGUCGAUGACAUGCCACGUCAAUACUUUUUUGAAAAAUUGUCUGUCAACGUAUUCGACAUGUGUCAUGUUGGACACACAUAUUCUUAUCAGUGCAUUAUAGCCUAUUAUCCUCCAUCUAGAUUACAAUUAUGGGACUUUGAUGGUCUUAUUGGUCUCGAUUCAUUUCUUGAUUGGCUCGAGUCUCUUGACUAGUUUUUUUAUUUUAUCAUGCUCAUAGGGCAUUUGUAGGAUCCGUUAUGUGUUAUUGGAAGUCAUUUUUGCAUUACAUUGAUAACCUAGAUUAAUGUCCUAUCACUUUGCGGGAUAAGAUGAAAUGAAUUCUAAGUAAUAAAUAUGCCCGGUAUACUAUAAAACUCAAUCGCUAAAUUAAUUCAUUUUGCACUAUAGGCAAGAUACCUUUACUGUUAGUAAGUAUCUAGUCUAUUUCAAAGAGUUAUUGAACAAUUGUCAUGUUUAUAAGUCCUGAAUUUUUCCUGCUGAUAUUCUUGCAUUCCAAUCCCUAGACGAUGCUUACCAAUAGACCACCCAUGGAACUUAUCCUUUCAUCUUCAUCAAAAGUGUCAUAAGCCAGGUCUACCACCCAAAUCCCGAAAGUCACCUUUUGAGUCUAGUUGUGUUGCUCUUGAAGAAGAUAUUGAUGUUUCUAUUGUUGAGUCAAUUGAAUAUUUUGACACCGAGGAUGAGGAAUUAUCUAUAUUGUUGCCACCUAAGUCAAACAGUCCAGCUAUCCUUGAUUAUUGAAGUUGAUCUUGCAUAAUCUAUUGUAUGACUCUAACAUUGACUUUGAUAUGGUUUUACCUCCACUUUGUGAUGCUUCUCGAGUUUCCACGUUAUCCAAUGUCAUUGUUCGUUUAAAAUUUUUUUCCACACAUAUAAAAAAAAGAUUGAAUUUCUCACUUGAACUUAUUCUAUAUGAUUGGCCAUUGCACUUAAAUGAGGGUUUUGUUUUCAAUAUAGCAGGAUGUUAUCUUAUCGAGAUACAUUUGAGCUCCAUUGUCGCAGACACUUGUUUUUGUAGGCCAUUUUACUUUGCUAGAUCCUUGUGCUCAUUAUGAACAAUCAAUUGAAGAUUUUGUGGAUGAGUUGCAUAUAUUUCGCUUUUUGGAGUUCCAUGUUGCUAUUUGUUCAGAAGCAAUAACUGUAGCCCUUGAUCAUAUCAUAGAUGUUGGGAGGGUUUGCAGCUUUAGGUGUUCUCAAGUAAUCAGUUCAAAUAUUUGAUUCUCAAGAAAGAUCGCCCUCCUUAGCCCGAGUUCAACCUUAGGAUAUGGUUCAAGGCUCGAUAUAGACAAUUGGUCAAAAUAAAAGAUAAACUUCCUCAAAAUAUGAAGUUCCAGUCAACCUCGCCGGAAUCAAGUUUUCUCAGCCGAUGAUAAAUGAUGCAAUAUUAUAAGAGACAAUUAUUUAUUUAGUUUCCUAUUUUGAUUUGUAACUUAGGGAACAUGAUUAGAAUGUGAUUUAACAACUUUUAUAGUAUUUCUUUACUCGAUAAUGAUUUUUGAAACUUUGAGGGUUAUGACGAUGUAAUAAGAGAACAUUUGAAUGAAUAAAAAUAAUUGAUAUUUUAUUCCCUUA